rnacentral:misc_RNA from 1 species
UUGCCAUCUAUUUAUCAAUGAAGUUGCAUUAUGAAUGCUUCUAACUAUUUGUGUUACUCUGGUUAUGGGAUUUACAAUGAUGAAUAUUACUGUUUGCAACAACCUAUUAUAUAUUAUAGAUACAGCCAGGAUAGGUUUCCAUCAUUUCUUCUAUUCAAUAACGAAGUUGCACUAUUAAUGCUUCUAACUAUUCGUGUUGCUAUAUCUAGGGGGUGUAUGAAGAUGAAUGUUAAUGUUUAUAGAAGCCUAUUAUAUAUUAUAGAUUUACUUAGAUCCCUUUGCAGUUCAUCUUGAGCUUGUUCUCGUGUUUCGUUGGACAGUCAUUUGAUGAGUCAUGAGACUAAACCGAGUUGUUUAGGUUGAAAUUGUAUGGUAUGUGCUCAUGAUUUGUCGAGCUUUUGGCAGUUUGCUG